rnacentral:rRNA from 1 species
UACAGAGGGGGCAAGCGUUGUUCGGAAUUACUGGGCGUAAAGGGCGCGUAGGCGGCCUGCUAAGUCGAACGUGAAAUCCCCGGGCUCAACCCGGGAACUGCGUCCGAUACUGGCAGGCUUGAAUCCGGGAGAGGGAUGCGGAAUUCCAGGUGUAGCGGUGAAAUGCGUAGAUAUCUGGAGGAACACCGGUGGCGAAGGCGGCCUUCUGGACAGUGACUGACGCUGAGACGCGAAAGCGUGGGGAGCAAACAGG